GAUGAACGCUAGCGAUAGGCUUAACACAUGCAAGUCGAGGGGCAGCGAGGGUAGCAAUACCUGUCGGCGACCGGCGCACGGGUGAGUAACGCGUAUGUAACCUGCCCGCAACAGGGGGAUAACCCGGCGAAAGUCGGACUAAUACCGCAUAAAACAGGGGUCCCGCAUGGGAAUAUUUGUUAAAGAUUUAUCGGUUGCGGAUGGGCAUGCGUACCAUUAGGUAGUUGGUGAGGUAACGGCUCACCAAGCCUUCGAUGGUUAGGGGUUCUGAGAGGAAGGUCCCCCACACUGUUACUGAGACACGGACCAGACUCCUACGGGAGGCAGCAGUGAGGAAGAUUGGUCAAUGGGCGAGAGCCUGAACCAGCCAAGUCGCGUGAAGGAUGACUGCCCUAUGGGUUGUAAACUUCUUUUACAAGGGAAUAAAAUGAGAUACGUGUAUUUUAUUGCAUGUACCUUGGGAAUAAGCAUCGGCUAACUCCGUG
rnacentral:rRNA from 1 species